rnacentral:lncRNA from 10 species
GGGGAUUAAGCAGCUGACCUGUGGUUCAUUUAUUCCCAGUUAGGUGAAGAGGCACUCUCAGGGGAAAGAAAAUACAGUGGUCUAGUCCAAUGCUGCUGUAGCCUGAUAACUGGACUUCAAGUUUUCAUUCAGGAUGCUCUAAUGACAAAAACUAAUGUCAAGCCACAUCUCAACAAGGGACUGUUUGGAGAGUCUUACUGAAGGAUCAUAAGGUAAGGUAAAAAACAAUGAAUUUGAUGAGAUGCAAUAAAUAGAUAAUUGCCACAGCACGUGGGGAUUUUACAUCGCCUAGUGGCACAAUGGCCAAUAUGUAGUGUAGGUAUAACAAAUAACAGGUCAACUAUUUCUAGACUGAUAUUGUUCUCAAACUACUAUAUCUGUGAAAGUAAGAAAUGUAUCAAUAUUGAUUUAAUUAAUAUUUAUUUAAAGCUCACCAUAUGCUAGGCAGGAUGCUAUGUGCUAAGCAUACAAAGUACCUGUCCUCAAGUAACUUUCAUCCUAUUGGAAAAACAAGAAAAAAAACAGGCUAGAGAGAUAAUGGCAAUAGUUUCAUAGGACAAUGUGUCACUGAGAAAUGAAGGGGAGUCUAAGUUUUUAUAACAGAUGAUUGAUGCAUUAAGUCAAACUGGAUGAGUGAAAAUUAGUUGCGCAAAAAUGAGGAAAGAAAAUUUCAGGCAAAGAAAAAAUAUGUUCUUUAUUUUCAAAAAGCCUCAGUUCCCUAAUAAGCCAUUGCAACAUAAAAAUCAUCUUGAUUUUUUGAUAAUUUUAUGCUUACUAUUUUUGUGCAUUGACAGGUAAGAUGAUCUGUGUGAAUAUUGCUGUUGUAUGUGUCUUUAUGGAUUUUGUUUCAAAGGUAACAUUAUAAAUCAGCAUAAUUUAUACUUUCUAUCUUCUACCAAAUUGCAAAUAUUUCUCUGACAAGAAUUUCAAAUAUUAAACUGCAGGUGUAUGUAAGAAUGAACAGGCUAUUCAUUGUAUUUUGAUAUACUAGGCUCUAUUGACAAAGAUAACUGCUAUAUGAUCUUCUCAAAUUUGAAAGUUAGUGGGAAUGGGGAAGGAUAAUGUCAGCUUACAUGCAGCUAACAUUUAUUCAUAUAGAUUAAAACUGAUUUAUAUAUGUACAUUUCAUCUAGAUGUGCUGUUUUAAAUUCUUGUUCAAAAAUGUUUUCAGGAGUAUUUAAUCUUAGAAUAAUGUGCUCUAGUCUGAUAAUGUUUAGGGUAAGGUAUUUUUGAGUUACUAGAUUAGAAAUAAAUAUACAGUUCAGUGACAAAUUUAUCUUGGAGAAUGUUUCAGAUUUACUUCUUUAUUAAAAGAUAUCAGGAGUAAAUUUAUGCUUCUAAUGACUGGCAUUAAAAAUAUAUGAGCCAAUUAGCAAUCUUCUCCAAUUCUAAUACAGUAGUAACUUUGAAAGCAUCACACUGGUAAAUAUUGGCCUGGUUUUUUGUAAAGGGAUUCUGUGUAAAAUAUUUUAAAUAUUUGAGCUUUGCAUGCACUUGGCCUGCUGAUACUGGCUUUUCAGGGCUUUCUCAUCUACUUGACACUUUGAAAACAAAUACCCUCUGCUUCUCCUCAUUUGAAUGAGCCUAGGCCUAGUAAAGCCAAGCUGUGAAUCACUAGGAACCAAAAAACUGACAGCAAUAGUUGGUCCUAAUAGGACACUCGUUCCCAUCAUAUCUUCUCCUUUGAGGAAAAGAGAUGGAUACAGAGGCCAGAUCUUUCUUUCUUUCUUUCCUUCCUUCCUUCCUUCCUUCCUUCCUUCUUGCUUUCUUGCUUUCUUGCUUUCUUGCUUUCUCUGCUGCUUCCCAAAUUAUAUGUUGUAGCUUGAAGAGCAUGGAUGUUAUGUGUGCCCUUUUUAAAUUGUUCUUAAAAAAACAGUGAAGGAAAGGAAGUAUCUGACUUAUUCCCAGUGCUGAAAAGGGAAGAGCCUGUUCAAAGAUGUGCACCCAGUUUACAAAAAAGCCAUGGAAUCAUGUUCCGGGGAAGUCAAGACUCAGUCUUACAUCCCUAUCAGAUUAGAUCCCCAUCACUGGAAAUUGGGAGACUGUUGGUGCAUAUAUAUCACUAAGUGGGGUUUCCAUCUUUAUAAAAAAGCUAUUUAUGUAUUGUUGUUGUUUUUUCAUUUCCAGUUGUUUAGGCUAUAUUAUGUAGAUUUUGAUUAACAUUUGAUUCAUUUUGAGCCACAGAAGCCAGAAGAGCGAAGGUGCAGAUUAUUAGUUGAUGUGAUGGGCAAUGCUUGAUUCAAUGGUAUGUUACUAAUAAUGACUACGUUUCAUCCAAAAAAACCCCCAGGAAAUUCUCAUAGUCUGUGAAAUAAAAUGAACGUACUGACUCAUAACUCUUAGGUUCAAGGGUGCUGAGGACUCCCUUUCUCUCUCCCUCCUUCUCUCUCUCCCUCUCUCACUUUCAUUCUCUUGCUUUUACUCUCAUUCUUGCUCUUGUGUUUUUCCUCUAUCUUUACCUUAUUUCUACUUAAGCCUCUUUUUCCCUUACUGUGUGGAGGAUUUCUUUACUCUGGAGGUAAUGUGAUCUUUGGAAAAAGGAUGUCUAUAAUUUUCAGAUAUGUGGCCCAGUAGGAAAAUUGUUUUUCAGCCGGUUCCAUAUUUUAAAAAUCCAGAGAAGAAAUAUGACUGCCUUAACCGCCUGUUGGUCUAAACGCUACUGUCAGAAGAUGAUUGCAUGUGAAUAAUUUGCUCAGAAUGUCAGCAAAUUUGGUAGAGAAGUAUAGUUAUUAUGUCUAUUGAAUCAUAUGGUUGAGUGUGGAUAAGCAGAUCUCCAAAAGAAGUGAAGAUACUGUACAGUGCAGACCAAAAAGUAAUACAAUACAAAUAUCAUAAAGCUGCAGCCACCCAGUACAUCCAUAUAAACUCAUUCUCAUAAUGUGAUCUAGAAAAAUGCAAAAAUUCCAUGCAACUAUCCACUGACAACCAAAGUUCUAAGUCCCAUGUCCUUCUUUUAUGCAACUAAAAUCCCAAGACAUUUGGAUGUUAGUAAAUAUUCUCCCUCCACACACUGCUGUUUUUAUUUUGAAUUGACGAUUUAUAAUUGUAUAAGUUUAUACAACAAAAAGUAACGGUAUUAUUUAUUAACGCAAUGUAACAUAAUUAAAUCAAGAUAGUUAACAUAUCUAUUACCUCAAAUAUGUAACAUUUUUGGUGGUGAGAAUAUUUGAAAUUUACUAUCUUAACAAUUUUAAAAUGUACAAUCCUCUAUUAUUUUGUUUUGUUUUUUGUUUGUUUGUUUUUGUUUUCAGAUGGAGUCUUGCUGUGCUGCCCAGGUUGGAGUGCAGUGGCACGAUCUUGGCUCACUGCAACUCCUCCGCCUCCCAGGUUAAAAUGAUUCUCCUGCCUCAGCCUCCCAAGUAGCUGGGACUACAGGCAUGCACCACUACGCCUGGCUAAUUUUUGUAUUUUUAGUAGAGACAGGGUUUUACCAUAUUGGUCAGGCACAUCUCGAGCUCCUGACCUCGGGCAAUCCACCCACAUCGGCCUCCCAAAGUGCUGGGAUUACAGGCUUGAGCCAUGACACCCAGCCCUCUUUUAUUAAUUAUAUUCACUGUGCUGUGCAAAAGACCUAAAAUAAUAUUCCUCCUCUCUGAGAUUUUGUACCGUUUUGCCAUCAUCUUCCCAUUUCCCCUGCCCUCAGGCUCUGUAAUCACCAUUCUACUCUCUGCUUCUAUGAGUUUGAUUAUUUCAGAUUUCACAUAUAAGUAAGACCAUGUGGUAUUUGUCUUUCUGUGCCUGGCUUAUUUCACUUAGAAUAAUGCUCUCCAAUUUCAUUAAUGCUGUUGCAAAUGACAUUUUUUUAUUUGAAGCUAAAUAGUAUUCUAUUGUGUGUAUGUGUGUGUGUGUGUGUGUGUAUGUGUUUGUGUGUGUGUGUGUGUGUGUGUGUGUGUGUGUAUGGAUACACAUACACCACAUUUUCUUUAUCUAUUCAUCUGUUGAUGGCAUCUAGGUUGAUUCUAUGAUGGCCAUUGUGAACAAUGCUGCAAUAAAUAUGGGAGCACAGACAUCUCUUCUACAAAUUAAUUUCAUAACUUUUGGAUAACUACCCAGAAGUGGGACUGCUAAAUCAUAUGGUAAUUCUAUAUUUUUUUUCAGAAACCUACACACAAUUUUUCAUAUGGCUGCACUAAUUCACAUUGCCACCAAAAGCAUACAAGGGUUCCCUUUCUCCUUAUUGUUGUUGGCACUUGUUAUCUUUAGUCUUUAUGAUAAUAGUCAUUCUUACAGCUAUGAGAUAUCUCAUUGUGAUUUUAAUUUUAAUUUCCCUAAUGAUUGUCAAUAUCAAGCUUUUUUUCACAUUUCCUUUGGCCAUUUGUAUGUCAUCUUUUAAGAAAUAUCUAUUCAGGUUAUUUGCCCAUUUUUAAUAGUUUUUUUUUAAAUUUUCUUGCCUUUGAGUUGUUUGAGCUCCUAAUCUAUUGUUAAUAUUAAUCCCUUAUUCGAUGUAUUGUUGCAAAUACUUUCUCCCAGUGUGUGAGUUGUCUCCGCACACUGCACUGUUAAUUGUUUUUAUGCAGAAACGCUUUGUUCGAUGUAAAACCAUGUAUCUAAUUUUGAUUUUAUUGCCUGCACUUUGGAGUCAAAUUCAAAAAAUCAUUGACGAAACCAAUGUCCUGUAGUUUUACUCCUGUAUUUUCUUCUAGUAGUUUUACAGAUUUAGUAUUAAGUCUUUAAUCCAUUUUUGAGUUGAUUUUACAUAUGGUAUGCAAUAAGGGUCCAAUUGUAUUCUUCUGCAUGUGGAUAUACAGGUUUUCCAACACCAUUUAUUAAGUGACUAUUCUUUUUCCGUUAGGUAUUCUUGGCACCUUUUUUGAAAAUCAAUUGACCAUACAUGUGUGGAUUUAUUUCUAGGUUCUAUAUUAUUUUCCUUUGGUUGAUUUUUUUUUUUAAAUCUGUACCAUGCUGUUCUAAUUACUGCAUGAUUUGUGAGUAGAUUCAGUUAGCAUUCCUCAACUAAGAAUAAACAGUAUGGCAGCCAGGCAGGGUGGCUCACGCCUGUAAUCCCAGCACUUUGGGAGGCGGAGGGGGGCGGAUCACGAGGUCAGGAGAUCAAGACCAUCCUGGCUAACACGGUGAAACCCCGUCUCUACUAAAAAUACAAAAAAUUAGCCGGGCGUGGUGGCGGGAGCCUGUAGUCCCAGCUACUCAGGAGGCUGAGGCAGGAGAAUGGCGUGAACCCGGGAGGCGGAGCUUGCAGUGAGCCGAGACUGAGCCACUGCACUCCAGCCUGGGUGACAGAGCGAGACUCCGUCUCAAAAAAAAAUAAAUAAAUAAAUAAACAGUAUGGCUACAUGACAAAUUUGCAACUCCAGCACACUGAAUGUAGAGUGAAAAUGAAAAAUUGUUUAAGAAAAGGAAACAAGAGGCAAUACACCCUAAGUGAAGAACAGCAACAAGAAAAAGCAGACCGUUUUAUCGGAUAGGUCAUAGUGAAUGACAGUAGGUCAUUUACUUUCUUCAUAAUCAAAUGUAAUCUUUCAUCAGACUGUUUUUCUUUCAUUUCUUAAUUUCAUUAAACAUUAUUUUUGAAUUGAAAGAUAAAAUUGUGUGUUUAUUGUGUACAACAUGAUGUUUUCAAGUAUCUAUACAUUACGGAAUGGCUAAACCUAGUGAAUUCACACAUAAAUUAGCUCACACAGUUUUUUUGUGGGAACAACUUAAAAUUGUAUUAUUUUCAAGAAUACAAUAUAUUGUUAUAAGUAUAGUCACUAUGUUUUACAACUGAUCUCUUGAACCGAAGAGAUUAACGCUUCCAUGUUUAUUACUACAUUUUUCCCAAUAGCCAAGAUAUGGAAUGAAUCUAAGUGUCCAUCAGUGAAUGAAUGGAUAAAGAAAAUGUGAUGUGUAUGUACAAUGGAGUACUUACUAUUCAGCCUUAAAAAAAUAAGGCAAUUCUGUUGUGACAACAUGGAUGAAACUGUAGGACAUUAUGUUAGGUGAAAUAAGUCAGGCACAUAAAGAUAAAUACUGCAUGACCUCACCUGUAUAUGGAAUCUAAAAAAAUAAAAAGUUGAUCAUAUAGAACUACCGAGUGGAAUGGUGAUUACUAGGGGAUAGGGGAGUUAGGUGGUGGAGUGGGAAUUGUUGUCCCUCAUUUCUGGACAACUGAGAGAUCCUCUGUGUUCUUCAUAGUUCCUAUCCAUCUCUAAAAGGGAAGUCCUUUUUUAGUGUUUGUGGAGAACUAGGUAAGUUAUUGGUGUAAAAAGUAAUCAUAAGACUAGACUACCAGACUUGGGAUUUUCUUACAUAAUACCCCACCCCCCGCCCAUAAAACACAAUAAACCUCAGUUUGAUUUGAUUUCUAGGUUCUAUCUUUGAUAGUAGAAAAUGCCAGAAAUUUUUUCAAGGCCUUUGAAUAUGAAGAUUAUUCCUGCUAUUUUUGUAUCUCUGCCUUUCUUGUAGCACCCAGUUUCACAGAUUCUCUCUUGUAAGCUGUUUCAUUUAAAUGUAAGUCAAUAAUUUGGUGGGCAGAAUUUGUAUUUCUUGUGUGAAAGCUCUGUAUUUAUAGUUGGCAUUUUAUAGUAGAAGAAAGUACUGCAUGUCUUGGGUUGGGGUAUAUGGAAAGAAACCAUAGGGAGGAACUUGGUGUCUCAGACAUUGUCUAUUUUUUUGGUUCCUUCAAAGUCUCAUUUUUAUCUUCAUUUGUUAGUUCUAUUUCUGUACCUAAUACUUUUAGUCUCCAUAGAACAGAAUACUCCAAAACAAGCCUUCAAAAUGAAAUAAAGCCCUUGACUGUGGUUGCUGAAUGGGUUUGGAUCACUUGUCUCAAGCACAGAGUAUCUCACUCCACCAACUCAAACUGAGUCUUACCUUUUCUGUAAGAGAAUGCUGAGGAUUGUAAGGUUGCCUAAAUACUCCAUAUUUUAUCAAAUUUCAACAUGGGUUUUAAAUUGCUAGCUGGGUGGACACAUUGGCUAAGUCCAGAGACAGGGUAGGUAAUUACUUAAUUAGAGGCUUCUCUUUUACAUACAAAAAUCAGCUUCUUAGCCAGAAAUAUGAGAUUCUCUCUGCUCUCUUUCCUCAGAUGCCAGAACCAUAUUUCUAUUCUUUCACUUGAAACAAAACUUGUAAAUGUACCACUUUUCUGUUAGUCAUUAUUCCUGGAGUAGCAAGUGAAAAGAAAGGGAAUUCAAGCUACCUUAUGCCAGAAAUAGGAUAUACUGUCCCCUAAAUUGUAAGAAGUCCAUGACUGGUUUUAGGCAUGACAAGGUUCAAGGAUUCAAGAUAUGGCACCUGGGUUUGUAACUUUUUCUCUCUCAGCCUCCUUGCUUAGUUCUUUCUAAGUUUCUACUUCUCCUCCUGCACACAGUUUCACUCCAUGUAUUAAGGAAGCUGGCCUUUGCUAGUCCUUAACUGGGUAGAGGAGUCCCCAAAAUAAUGAGAUUGUUGGACAUUCCAAAAUAUAUAUUGACUAUAAGUACUUAAUGGAAUGAACUGAAAGACCACAAUAAAAUUUUCAUAAUACAAAUUCUCAUAUUGCACAAUGAGUUUCUUCUGUACA